rnacentral:rRNA from 1 species
GACGAACGCUGGCGGCGUGCUUAACACAUGCAAGUCGAACGGAAAGGCCCUGCUUGCAGGGUACUCGAGUGGCGAACGGGUGAGUAACACGCGGGUGAUCUGUCCUGUACUUCGGGAUAAGCCUGGGAAACUGGGUCUAAUAUCCGAUAGGGGCCAUCCUUAGGGUGAUGGUUGGAUAGUCUUUUCGGUGUGGGAUGAGUUCGCGGCCUAUCAGCUUGUUGGUGGGGUAAUGGCCUACCAAGGCGGCGACGGGUAGCCGGCCUGGGAGGGUGGACGGCCACAUUGGGGCUGAGAUACGGCCCAGACUCCUACGGGGGGCAGCAGUGGGGAAAAUUGCACAAUGGGCGCAAGCCUGAUGCAGCGACGCCGCGUGGGGGAUGACGGCCUUCGGGUUGUAAACUCCUUUCGCUAGGGACGAAGCUUUUUGUGACGGUACCUGGAUAAGAAGCACCGGCUAACUACGUG